UACGAAGGGGGCUAGCGUUGUUCGGAAUUACUGGGCGUAAAGGGCGCGUAGGCGGCGCGGAAAGUCAACGGUGAAAGCUUGGGGCUCAACCCCGAGUCGGCCGUCGAUACUUCCGUGCUCGAGCACUGUAGAGGCAGGUGGAAUUCCGGGUGUAGCGGUGGAAUGCGUAGAGAUCCGGAAGAACACCAGUGGCGAAGGCGGCUAUCUGGACGGUUUCUGACACUAAGACUCGAAAGCGUGGGGAGCAAACAGG
rnacentral:rRNA from 1 species